UACGUAGGGGGCUAGCGUUGUCCGGAAUCAUUGGGCGUAAAGCGCGUGUAGGCGGUCCGGUAAGUCCGCUGUGAAAGUCGGGGGCUCAACCCUCGAAUGCCGGUGGGUACUGUCGGGCUAGAGUGCGGAAGAGGCGAGUGGAAUUCCUGGUGUAGCGGUGAAAUGCGCAGAUAUCUGGAGGAACACCGGUGGCGAAGGCGACAUCCUGGGCCGGUAUUGACGCUGAGGCGCGAAAGCCAGGGGAGCAAACGGG
rnacentral:rRNA from 1 species